rnacentral:ribozyme from 1 species
AAAAAGAAGAAAAGAAAAAAGAAAGACAAAAACAUAGGAGAAUAUUGGCACCCUCCCCUUCCUCGUCUUGUUCGUCCAACCCUUGAAUCUG